GAUGGGAGCCUAGCAUAGCUGUCCUCUGAGAGGCUUCUUGGCAAGUGAUAGAAACAAAAAUAGGAGGACCCAGAGGAAACAGGAGCUCCAGAAGAAGACAGACAGAGCCAACUAACCUGGGCCCAGAAAAUAAAGAGUCCAUUGCCAUCACAGCAGGAAAGUGUGGCCGCAGUCAGGCAUAGCAGCUGGAACAGCUGAGAGCUCACAAAUCAAACCACAAGCAAGAAGCAGAGAGCAAACUGGAAAUGGUCUCCCUAGGACAGAACCUCCAGCGCCCUGAAGAUUGUGGGGAAUCCCUGUGUGAUGGUAAUUUCCCAUUGUGAGCAAAAGGUUUUGAAAUGGGAGCCAGUAAAUGCAGGGGCAUUAUCAGUCUAUUUGUUGAGGAAUGCCCAUGAUGGCAAAGGUGGAAAGCAUAUGGUGAAUCAAUCUUUUUGAGUUUUCUCUCGUUUGGGCCCAUAUAGAAUAAGCUUCAAAUGUGCGCCUAAAGGAAUUUUCUUCUUAACCACAUAACUUUGUGUCUGCCCUUACAAUCGCCAGUAUCCUGCCAGACCAAGGUGUUUUCUACAUCCACGACAGCGCCAAAGCAACUGCCUACAAAUACUCUAGUUUAACCUUGCAGAUUUCAUCAAGCUGGACCUACGCUUUCCCUCCCAGCCACAGAUGUUCUCACAGACCCUGGACAGCAUCAAAACAGCCUGCUCCUCCUGGACUUGGCCAACAUUUCAACCUUUUGACCUCCCUGUCACCACCCCAGUGUCAGCAGGAGGUAGUCAGAAAAGAUUGUCCAUUUAUUAUCAACAAAAGGCUGAAGUAAUGUGCUUCUGCCCACAACAAACAGUUCCAGGCUCUCCCAGCAUUCCUCAGUCCCUAUCUGCUGCUGGAGAUGGCUGGCAAACCCCACCCUCUACCCUGAAUUUUCCAGGGCAAGGGCUUCCUUUCCUUUUCACCAUAUAAUCUGGACAUUUUGUUGCUCUUACUUUUUUUUUUCUUUCUCUCUUACUCCCUUGCAUGGAAACCAAGAGCUGCUUCCAAUGAACCUACAUUUAUAUACUUUAACUUACAUGAGAAGCAGUCCAAUGUUCUCAUUUUUUUAGUUAUAGAAAAGGGAAGAAUGUUAGCAUAUAGGCAGCCUGCUUCUGGGUUGCCUAGCAACCUAUGAUGUCAUCAUGUGUCACCUGCCAGGUGUGUGGCAGAUACACCUGGCAGAUGGCCCGGUUCAUCCCUGUAUGAUCUAUAAACAGACCAACUCGACACUGUCUGUCUCUUGCUCUCUCUGUUUUUAUUUCUCUGUUGGGGUGCCCCCUCUCCCCAUCUUUCUCUCUUUCUCUCUCUCUGUCUCUCUGCUCUCAUGGCUCACUUAGGCCCUAACUCUUUUCCACUUCCCUUCUCCCAAAUAAACUCUUUCAUAUCAUAUUAUAUGCAUGUGGCAUCAUUUUUAUAUACAUACUGAUAGGCAGUAUCUAGAGAAUGCCCAAUAAAAACUAACUACAAUGCCAUGAAUCAUGCCAUUGAAAUACCACAAUGACAUUUUGUUAAUAGUCAAGAUUGCUAUGACUUCUCUCACCUAAGAGAGAAGAAGAGUGAGGAAGUGGUUUGGAGAAAGACAAAGCCAACCAGUUCCUCCCUGAAUCUCUUGGCUUGACUUUCUGAGCCUUAGGCAAAUAAAAAAGUUUUCAUUCCAAGUGACGCCUAUCAUCUGGUGAAAGACUUGUUCUUUACAAGUCUCAUAUACAUCCCUUCACUUCCCUGUUCUGGGCACCAAAUGUGGAACUCAGAUAGCACUUGGAAAAUACAAGUUCUUUCCAAGGUGAUCGAUAAUGCAAAGCUGUGUAUCAGGGGUGGGGGUAGGGCAUGAAAGGCAGCUCUGUCUUAGUGUGCGGGGCUUCUUCUCCAAGUGGCAGUUCCUGUAAAGAUAACUGCAGGUUUCACUCUGCCAUCCUGGGCUGUAGCAGUCUACAGCUGUGCGGCCAAUAGUCUAGUUCUUUUUGAGGAAAAAAGAAAGAGUUGCGUACAACUGUAAUGUCUGAUGCUGAAGCAAGUGUCCAAAACUAGUGUUAGUAUGUUUUAAGACUCUGCCUCAAACCAACAACAAAGGAACAAAGAGGUACUCCCACACACCCCACAUGCUCCCUCCACAGAGCUCACGUUUCUGGAGACUGAAUUGAAGAGUGGGUUAUUACAUAGGAAAGUCUUUUAUGUGGCUUUCCUGCUAAACCUGUGACAAUCCUUUCAGAAUCCUGUGCUGGAAAAUCAGCAAUUUAAGUCUCUCUUUGAACUGUGUAGAGGAUUUACUCUGUAGAGCAUAUAAAAAAAGAAAAGAAAAACUCCAACUACACUAGGUUAUAUGAGUUACACAAUAAGUGUCAGUUAAUAAAGUAUAACUAGAACAAGAGCUAUUUAGAACCUAAAGGAGGACUCUGGCCAGCCCAGGCCUGGAAAACAUGGCUCUGGCGGGCCUUGCCUUUCUCCCUCAUUCCCUCUGCCUUUCUAAAAACCAUUAGAUUACAUUCCUAAACCUGUUCCCUUAUUUGGCCACUUUCUCCUCCUGAGACUGACUACCAAGGUCCAGCUAUCAAAGUAUUAGAGUCCAGCCAUCAAAAGCCCCCUUUGGCUCACCUAAUUAACAUGCCCAAUUAAAAUUGAACACCUCAUCUUAACAUGCGUUUUUUUCUUGUACCUUUAUAAACUGCUAUUUUCCUAUGGGCCAUGUCUGUCUCCUCCCUAGCCAAUUCUUUUUCCCCAGUAGACAAACACCCUUUCCCUCUCUGCCUGUUCGCUACCCCUUCUCCCACAUCCUCUUGUCUCCUGUCUUUGCCUCUUAUAAAUCUAUUUGUGCUGAGAAUUUGGUCUUGGGAAUCCUGGGGAAUUCCAAUCCUUUCAGAACCUGCUUUAAAAGAUUCAGUCAGUCCAAGGAAAGCCCCAAACAUGGAGCUUUGAAAAACAUGAGCCACACUUUACCUGAAGAAAAGAAAUUGAAAUUCUGAAUAUGGAAGGUGAAUCUUGUUAGCAUACAGGCAUCCACUAGCCUCGCAACCUCUGACAUCAUCACCUGCCAACUCCAGGUGCACUGCCAGCUGUGUGCUAUGCACGCCAGAUUUAAAAAACCCGCUCAAACUUGUUUUCUUCUUGGUUUCUCUCCCUCUCUCUCCCUCUCUCUGUCUCUUUCUGUGUCAUGGGUGCUCUCCUCUCUCUCCCUCCCCCUCUCUCACAAUAAAUCUCCAUCAUAUCAAAUCUGUUGCAGGGCAUAUUAAUCAUUAUAAAAACUCUGCCCUGGGCUGGAUGAUGACUGAAAAGGAUUCAGGAUUCUGUCUAAGGAAGCCAGUACAUGCUAGCAUACUCCAUAAUCUCUCCAUAAUCUCUCUAGACAAGAGCCCUCCUUAAGCUUUACCCCAAUCACUGCAAUGCUGCUUACAAACACGGAUUCCUACACUCGGUCUCGGGACGUGGAGAUGGCACCCAUGGACUCUCAACACUUAGGAGCCUGAAGCAGAAAGACUGACAGGGUUAAAGGCCAGCUUGUGUGAGAGCCUACCACAGACAAGCAAAAAGGCACUUAGGUAUGGCCUGGAAGGGAGCUGUGUUUGUUCCUUUGUGGUUUUGGUAGUGGUCCUCUGCCUUUUUCUUCUCUUUCCUUUUCUGUUUCUUUUUCAGGUAAAGUAUUUAAAUGCAAGGCUAUUGGGAGCAGCUCUUGAAGCAUUCAUAGAGGGGAGAGAAAAAAAGAGGAGAGAGAGGAAAAGAGAUACAGAAAGAGAAGGGAACCAAAAAGUCUGGAUUAUAUAGUGAGAGCCCCUUGGGAAGGGGAAGCCCCCUACCCCUAGUCUGGAAAGUUCAGGGUAGAGAUAUGCCAGCCACAUCCUGUAAUAGGAAUGCAGGAUGCUGGGAAAAAAGCACCUCAGUUGCUUGUCCCAGGUCUGAAAGCCCAACAGUCCAAGUAAACAGAAAUGAGCUUAAUCUGGAUUAUACCAGUCUGGCAGUUAGAGAAAAGCCAGCAUUCUUCAGGAACUCGUGAAACUGGUUCCCACCUGCCAAAGGAACCAUUUCCCUUACUUCUGGCAGAAGGAAAAUAUGGCUACCUGUGGUGGCAUAUCAAAGCCCAUGCUGGUCUCCAGGCUCCCUCAGUGUAGCAGGGCCACAGACCCUAGUAGGCCCCAGAUCUUAGCACAACUGAAUCCAUGAUGGAAGUGCCGUUCAGGCCAUCGAACUCAGCACGUAGAGACCUCCACGUGCCAACACUAAAACAAAGACCUGCCCGCCAUCAAAGGCCAUAGUUCUGGGAAAGUGUCUAAAUGUACUAACUUACUUUUUGGCUUCUGUAGUUCUACUUCUGGCUAACUAUUCUUGUUAACUGAACUAUGUCAACCCAGGACAUGAUUUUCUUGUGUUUAAAAUCUCAUCCUGAGGCUCAGUGCUACACCAGGAUUCCGAACACCAAGUGUAGUUGACCGCUGGCUAAUAAAGACUUUCU